GGAUAAUCUACCCUUAGGACCGGGAUAACCCUGGGAAACUGGGGAUAAUACUGGAUAGGCAAUUAUUCCUGUAAUGGUUUUUUGUUUAAAUGUUUUUUCGCCUAAGGAUGAGUCUGCGGCCGAUUAGGUAGUUGGUUAGGUAAUGGCUUACCAAGCCGUUGAUCGGUACGGGUUGUGAGAGCAAGAGCCCGGAGAUGGAACCUGAGACAAGGUUCCAGGCCCUACGGGGUGCAGCAGGCGCGAAACCUCCGCAAUGUGAGAAAUCGCGACGGGGGGAUCCCAAGUGCCAUUCUUAACGGGAUGGCUUUUCAUUAGUGUAAAGAGCUUUUGGAAUAAGAGCUGGGCAAGACCGGUGCCAGCCGCCGCGGUAACACCGGCAGCUCUAGUGGUAACAAUUUUUAUUGGGCCUAAAGCGUCCGUAGCCGGUUUAAUAAGUCUCUGGUGAAAUCCUGCAGCUUAACUGUGGGAAUUGCUGGAGAUACUAUUAGACUUGAGACCGGGAGAGGUUAGAGGUACUCCCAGGGUAGAGGUGAAAUUCUGUAAUCCUGGGAGGACCGCCUGUUGCGAAGGCGUCUAACUGGAACGGUUCUGACGGUGAGGGACGAAAGUUAGGGGCGCGAACCGGAUUAGAUACCCGGGUAGUCCUAACUGUAAACGAUGCGGACUUGGUGUUGGGGUGGCUUUGAGCUGCUCCAGUGCC
rnacentral:rRNA from 1 species